rnacentral:rRNA from 1 species
CCUACGGGAGGCAGCAGUAGGGAAUAUUGGGCAAUGGGCGAGAGCCUGACCCAGCCAUGCCGCGUGCCGGAUGAAGGCCUUCUGGGUUGUAAACGGCUUUUCUCAGGGAAGAAAAAGACCUUGCGAGGUAAACUGACGGUACCUGAGGAAUAAGCACCGGCUAACUCCGUGCCAGCAGCCGCGGUAAUACGGAGGGUGCAAGCGUUGUCCGGAUUUAUUGGGUUUAAAGGGUGCGUAGGUGGCCCGUUAAGUCCGGGGUGAAAGCCCACAGCUCAACUGUGGAACUGCCCUGGAUACUGGCGGGCUUGAGUCCAGACGAGGUUGGCGGAAUGGAAGAUGUAGCGGUGAAAUGCAUAGAUAUCUUCCAGAACCCCGAUUGCGUAGGCAGCUGACUAGGCUGGUACUGACACUGAGGCACGAAAGCGUGGGGAGCGAACAGGAUUAGAUACCCUGGUAGUCCACGCCGUAAACGAUGGAUACUCGCUGGUGGCAAUAGACCGUCACUGGCUUAGCGAAAGCGGUAAGUAUCCCACCUGGGGAGUACGCUCGCAAGAGUGAACUUAAAUGAAUUGACGG